GUGAACCUGCGGAGGGAUCAUUACCGAGUUCAUGCCCUGACGGGUAGACCUCCCACCCUAUGUUAUAUUACCUUUGUUGCUUUGGCGGGCCGCCCGGCUUCGGCCAGGCUACCGGCUCCAGCUGGUAAGCGCUCGCCAGAGGACCCCCAACUCUGAAUAUCAGUGUCGUCCGAGUACUAUAAAAUAGUUAAAACUUUCAACAACGGAUCUCUUGGUUCUGGCAUCGAUGAAGAACGCAGCGAAAUGCGAUAAGUAAUGUGAAUUGCAGAAUUCAGUGAAUCAUCGAAUCUUUGAACGCACAUUGCGCCCCUUGGUAUUCCGAGGGGCAUGCCUGUUCGAGCGUCAUUACAACCCUCAAGCACUGCUUGGUAUUGGGCUCCGCUGGCUCCAGCGGGCCUUAAAAUCAGUGGCGGCGCCGUUUGGGCUCUGAGCGUAGUAAAUAUCCUCGCUAUAGAGACCAGGCGGUUCUUGUCAUCAACCCCCAACUUUCUAAGUUUGACCUCGGAUCAGGUAGGGAUACCCGCUGAACUUAAGCAUAUCAAAA
rnacentral:rRNA from 1 species